UUUUUCUUUUUUCUUUUUCCCAGAAAAAUGGGCCUCAAAACAGAGCCUAUGAAUCAUACAUCUUUCCUGAAAAAUCGUUAGAGUUCUUGAGCAAGCCUUUUAAUUCAGAAGAAAAGAGGCAACAGGAAAUGCAACCAGCCUCCCGAAGUAUGGAAUGGCGGCGUUGGGUUUGUGUCCAAGGAAAUGAUUCAGACUCACUGCCCUGCGCCAGCACCUGAUAUUCAGAUACUGAGAUGUGGCCCUCCUCCAAUGAACAAGGCUAUGGCUGCUCAUCUCGAAGCUCUUGGAUAUGCGCCGGGGAUGCAAUUCCAAUUUUAGUGUAGCAUGAGGCCUCGACCCUUUUAGACGUGAUUUUCUUACAUUCUUGGGGAAAAUGUGUAGUAUUUUGAUUUGCAUAAUGUGGAGGCAAAUUUCAAUAGAUUUCUCUUCAAAAAAUUGUAACUUCUUAAAAUUCUCCACAUGGUUUUAUCUAUGAUAAUUUUAUGAUUCUCGAUA